rnacentral:rRNA from 1 species
UACGUAGGGUGCGAGCGUUAAUCGGAAUUACUGGGCGUAAAGCGUGCGCAGGCGGUUAUUUAAGUCAGGUGUGAAAGCCCUGGGCUUAACCUAGGAAUUGCGCUUGAGACUGGAUAGCUUGGAGUGCGGCAGAGGGAGGUGGAAUUCCACGUGUAGCAGUGAAAUGCGUAGAGAUGUGGAGGAACACCGAUGGCGAAGGCAAUCCCCUGGGCCUGCACUGACGCUCAUGCACGAAAGCGUGGGGAGCGAAACAAGGAUUGAGAAACC